AACGAACGCUGGCGGCAGGCUUAACACAUGCAAGUCGAACGCACCGCAAGGUGAGUGGCAGACGGGUGAGUAACGCGUGGGAAUCUACCCAGAACUUCGGAACAACUGAGGGAAACUUCAGCUAAUACCGGAUACGCCCUACGGGGAAAGAUUUAUCGGUUCUGGAUGAGCCCGCGUUGGAUUAGCUAGUUGGUGAGGUAAUGGCUCACCAAGGCGACGAUCCAUAGCUGGCUGAGAGGAUGAUCAGCCACACUGGGACUGAGACACGGCCCAGACUCCUACGGGAGGCAGCAGUGGGGAAUAUUGGACAAUGGGCGAAAGCCUGAUCCAGCCAUGCCGCGUGAGUGAU
rnacentral:rRNA from 1 species